UACGGAGGAUCCGAGCGUUAUCCGGAUUUAUUGGGUUUAAAGGGUGCGCAGGCGGGAGAUUAAGUCGGCGGUGAAAUUUUGCAGCUCAACUGUAAAAGUGCCUUCGAAACUGGUUUCCUUGAGUGUGGAUGAAGUAGGCGGAAUUUGUGGUGUAGCGGUGAAAUGCUUAGAUAUCACGAGGAACUCCGAUUGCGCAGGCAGCUUACUAAACUACUACUGACGCUCAGGCACGAAGGCGUGGGGAUCAAACAGGAUUAGAUACCCGGGUAGUCCCUGA
rnacentral:rRNA from 1 species